CACGUAGGCACCAAGCGUUGUCCGGAUUUAUUGGGCGUAAGGAGCUCGUAGGCGGUUCGGUAAGUCGGGUGUGAAAACUUUGGGCUUAACCCAAAGCGUGCAUCCGAUACUGCUGUGACUUGAGUUCGGUAGGGGAGUGGGGAAUUCCUAGUGUAGCGGUGAAAUGCGCAGAUAUUAGGAGGAACACCGGUGGCGAAGGCGCCACUCUGGGCCGAAACUGACGCUGAGGAGCGAAAGCGUGGGUAGCAAACAGG
rnacentral:rRNA from 1 species